rnacentral:rRNA from 1 species
UCUCAGUUCGGAUUGUAGGCUGCAACUCGCCUACAUGAAGCCGGAAUCGCUAGUAAUCGUGGAUCAGCAUGCCACGGUGAAUACGUUCCCGGGCCUUGUACACACCGCCCGUCACACCACGAGAGUUUGUAACACCCGAAGUCGGUAGGGUAACCUUUAUGGAGCCAGCCGCCGAAGGUGGGACAGAUAAUUGGGGUGAAGUCGUAACAAGGUAGCCGUAUCGGAAGGUGCGGCUGGAUCACCUCCUUUCUAAGGAA